UACAGAGGGUGCGAGCGUUAGUCGGAAUUACUGGGCGUAAAGCGUGCGUAGACGGUCAAGUAAGUCGGGUGUGAAAGCCCCGGGCUCAACCUGGGAAUUGCAUUCGAGACUGCGUGGCUAGGGUGCGGAAGAGGGAAGCGGAAUUUCCGGUGUAGCGGUGAAAUGCGUAGAUAUCGGAAGGAACACCAGUGGCGAAAGCGGCUUCCUGGUCCAGCACCGACGUCCAGGCACGAAAGCGUGGGGAGCAAACAGG
rnacentral:rRNA from 1 species